ACUGGAAUGAACGGCUACAUGAAGACUUUACUGUCUCUUGCCGYUAGUCAAUGAAACUGAUCUCCCAGUACAAAAGCUGGAAUAAUCUCAUAAGACAAAAAGACCCUGUGGAGCUUUUAAACCAAGUACACCAAAAUGUUCUAUCACGGUUUUUAGUUGGGGCGACUUCGGAACAAAAUAAAACUUCCGAAACCAUGGAAUCAUACCCAUAUUUAAGGCCAACACGCCAAGAUUAGUCAUCUACUUGACCCAGUUUAUCACAUACUGAUCAAUGAACCAAGUUACCCCAGGGAUAACAGCGCCAUCYYCUUUUAGAGUCCAUAUCGACAAGAAGGUUUACGACCUCGAUGUUGGAUCAGGACACCCAAAUAGUGCAGCCGCUAUUAAAG
rnacentral:rRNA from 1 species